rnacentral:rRNA from 1 species
UGGGGAAUAUUGCACAAUGGGGGAAACCCUGAUGCAGCGACGCCGCGUGAGUGAAGAAGUAUUUCGGUAUGUAAAGCUCUAUCAGCAGGGAAGAUGAUGACGGUACCUGAGUAAGAAGCCCCGGCUAACUACGUGCCAGCAGCCGCGGUAAUACGUAGGGGGCAAGCGUUAUCCGGAUUUACUGGGUGUAAAGGGAGCGUAGACGGCAUGGCAAGUCUGAAGUGAAAGCCCGGGGCUCAACCGCGGGACUGCUUUGGAAACUGUUAAGCUGGAGUGCAGGAGAGGUAAGUGGAAUUCCUAGUGUAGCGGUGAAAUGCGUAGAUAUUAGGAGGAACACCAGUGGCGAAGGCGGCUUACUGGACUGUAACUGACGUUGAGGCUCGAAAGCGUGGGGAGCAAACAGGAUUAGAUACC